UACGUAGGGUGCGAGCGUUAAUCGGAAUUACUGGGCGUAAAGCGUGCGCAGGCGGCGCGUUAAGACAGGUGUGAAAGCCCCGAGCUUAACUUGGGAAUUGCGCUUGUGACUGGCGUGCUGGAGUGUGGCAGAGGGAGGUGGAAUUCCACGUGUAGCAGUGAAAUGCGUAGAGAUGUGGAGGAACACCAGUGGCGAAAGCGACUUUCUGGUCCUUAACUGACGCUGAGGCGCGAAAGCAUGGGGAGCGAACGGG
rnacentral:rRNA from 1 species